rnacentral:rRNA from 1 species
CACGUAGGGGGCAAGCGUUGUCCGGAUUUAUUGGGCGUAAAGAGUGUGUAGGCGGUGCUCUAAGUUCGGUGUGAAAUCUCCCGGCUUAACUGGGAGGGUGCGCCGGAAACUGGAGUGCUCGAGCGUGGGAGAGGAAAGCGGAAUCCUGGUGUAGCGGUGAAAUGCGUAGAUAUCAGGAGGAACACCUGCGGUGUAGACGGCUUUCUGGACCAUUGCUGACGCUGAGACACGAAAGCGUGGGUAGCAAACAGG